rnacentral:rRNA from 1 species
AGUGAACGCUGGCGGCGUGCCUAAUACAUGCAAGUCGAGCGAACAGACGAGGAGCUUGCUCCUUUGACGUUAGCGGCGGACGGGUGAGUAACACGUGGGUAACCUACCUAUAAGACUGGGAUAACUUCGGGAAACCGGAGCUAAUACCGGAUAAUAUUUCGAACCGCAUGGUUCGAUAGUGAAAGAUGGCUCUGCUAUCACUUAUAGAUGGACCUGCGCCGUAUUAGCUAGUUGGUAAGGUAACGGCUUAACAAGGCAACGAUCCGUAGCCGACCUGAGAGGGUGAUCGGCCACACUGGAACUGAGACACGGUCCAGACUCCUACGGGAGGCAGCAGUAGGGAAUCUUCCGCAAUGGGCGAAAGCCUGACGGAGCAACGCCGCGUGAGUGAUGAAGGUCUUCGGAUCGUAAAACUCUGUUAUUAGGGAAGAACAAACGUGUAAGUAACUGUGCACGUCUUGACGGUACCUAAUCAGAAAGCCACGGCUAACUACGUGCCAGCAGCCGCCGUAA